rnacentral:snoRNA from 2 species
AUAUGAAUGUAGCAUGGUACUGUACACGGAAAGUGAACUAUGGAUCGACAUGUCUGCCAUCUUUGAAUUAUCUUUUGAUGAGACGGCCUGGUUUAGAUCCACAUUC